rnacentral:rRNA from 1 species
CAGAUUUGAUCAUGGCUCAGGAUGAACGCUAGCUACAGGCUUAACACAUGCAAGUCGAGGGGAAACGACAUCGAAAGCUUGCUUUUGAUGGGCGUCGACCGGCGCACGGGUGAGUAACGCGUAUCCAACCUGCCCACCACUUGGGGAUAACCUUGCGAAAGUAAGACUAAUACCCAAUGACGUCUCUAGAAGACAUCUGAAGGAGAUUAAAGAUUUAUCGGUGAUGGAUGGGGAUGCGUCUGAUUAGCUUGUUGGGCGGGGUAACGGCCACCAAGGCGACGAUCAGUAGGGGUUCUGAGAGGAAGGUCCCCCACAUUGGAACUGAGACACGGUCCAAACUCCUACGGGAGCA